rnacentral:lncRNA from 1 species
AAAAUCAUUUGACUUGCGAUGACUUUUUGGAUGGGAUCUAGACAUUUCUUGAUUGAGAUAUCUCAUAGCAUUCAAAGAGCUAUCUCUUAGCUUCGAAACGCACUUUGAAUCACUCGAUUUUGAGUCCAGAGACUCAACUUAUGACUGUUUUAGAGAAGACCGUGCAAGCAGAAAUUUUGGAUGUUAUUAUUACAGAAAAUUACGAGUUUUGAGCUUUAAUUCGAGUUUAA